UGGUCUAUUUUGAAAGUUGUUGAGGUUGAGGUGGUUGUGAUUGCUGAGGCGGAUUUUGAUUUCUGUUCUGAAAGCUUGGUGGUGCUAGUCUGUGCCCCUGUUGUCUGUUGAUCGGUUGAUUCUAUUGGUUGUGUUGGUUGGACCAUGAGAAAUUUUGGUGGUUCCUCCAUUCAAGAUCGUAAGUUUUUGAAUAAGGAUUUUCAAUUGCUCUCUGGUUGAAGUUCCCAUUGUUGUUCACAUAGAUCACCUGAUCUGUAAAGGGAUCGCCAUAGUUGUUGCAUUCUGAGCUUUGAUGUCGUCCACAGUGUUCACAAAAUGAAUCAUCGACUCCAAUCCCAUUAGCUUGCAUUUUGUUUAGCCUCUUUGACAGUUGGUCGAACUGAGUAUUGAUCAUGCUUGGUGCAUUCAAUUCUAAUAUUCAAUUCUAAUACUCCAACUGUCCUUG
rnacentral:misc_RNA from 1 species